rnacentral:ncRNA from 2 species
ACCAAAUGCAGGGGUCGUGGUUCUAUCGAGUCGCAAGACUUGGUAGCUAAGAUGGGAAGCCGGUGAAGCCGCGGAAGCGGCAAGUCCGGCGCUGCCCCCGCAACUGUAAGCAGCGAGCUGAUUCCAACUUUGGUCACUGGCGCGUGCGCGCGCCGGGAAGGCCGGAAUCCGCCUCGACCUGCGAGCCAGGAGACCUGCCGCGACACCAGAACGUCC